GAUGAGAACGCAGCGAAAUGCGAUACGUAGUGUGAAUUGCAGAAUUCAGUGAAUCAUCGAAUCUUUGAACGCACAUUGCGCCCUUUGGUAUUCCAAAGGGCAUGCCUGUUCGAGCGUCAUUUGUACCCUCAAGCUUUGCUUGGUGUUGGGCGUCUUGUCUCCAGUCCGCUGGAGACUCGCCUUAAAGUCAUUGGCAGCCGGCCUACUGGUUUCGGAGCGCAGCACAAGUCGCACUCUUUUCCAGCCAAGGUCAGCGUCCAACAAGCCUUUUUUCAACUUUUGACCUCGGAUCAGGUAGGGAUACCCGCUGAACUUAAGCAUAUCAAUAAGCGGAGGA
rnacentral:misc_RNA from 1 species